UCUGGGCGUAAGCGUGCGCAGGCGGUUGUGCAAGACCGAUGUGAAAUCCCCGGGCUUAACCUGGGAAUUGCAUUGGUGACUGCACGGCUAGAGUGUGUCAGAGGGGGGUAGAAUUCCACGUGUAGCAGUGAAAUGCGUAGAGAUGUGGAGGAAUACCGAUGGCGAAGGCAGCCCCCUGGGAUAACACUGACGCUCAUGCACGAAAGCGUGGGGAGCAAACAGGAUUAGAUACCCUGGUAGUCCACGCCCUAAACGAUGUCAACUAGUUGUUGGGGAUUCAUUUCCUUAGUAACGUAGCUAACGCGUGAAGUUGACCGCCUGGGGAGUACGGUCGCAAGAUUA
rnacentral:rRNA from 1 species